rnacentral:rRNA from 1 species
AACUAACGCUAGCGGCGUGCCUAACACAUGCAAGUCGUACGAGAAAGUCGGCUUCGGCCGGCGAGUAAAGUGGCGCACGGGUGAGUAACGCGUGGAUAAUCUACCCUUGAGUUGGGAAUAACGUGCCGAAAGGUGCGCUAAUACCGAAUAAUACUGAGUGACUAAUGUUGCUUAGUCAAAGAAGGCCUCUGCUUGCAAGCUUUCGCUGAAGGAUGAGUCCGCGUACCAUUAGCUAGUUGGUAGGGUAAUGGCCUACCAAGGCAACGAUGGUUAGCUGGUCUGAGAGGAUGAUCAGCCACACUGGAACUGAGACACGGUCCAGACUCCUACGGGAGGCAGCAGUGGGGAAUUUUGCGCAAUGGGGGAAACCCUGACGCAGCGACGCCGCGUGGAGGAUGACGGCCUUCGGUUGUAAACCUCUGUCAUGGGGAAGAAGUAAGUGACGGUACCCCAAGAGGAAGCCCCUGCUAACUACGUGCCAGCAGCCGCGGUAAGA